rnacentral:rRNA from 1 species
GCCAGACUCCUACGGGAGGCAGCAGUGAGGAAUAUUGGUCAAUGAGCGGGAGCCUGAACCAGCCAAGCCGCGUGAAGGAAGAAGGCGCCAGGCGUCGUAAACUUCUUUUGUCGGGGAACAAAGGGCGCCACGCGUGGCGUUGUGAGUGUACCCGAAGAAAAAGCAUCGGCUAACUCCGUGCCAGCAGCCGCGGUAAUACGGAGGAUGCGAGCGUUAUCCGGAUUUAUUGGGUUUAAAGGGUGCGUAGACGGCGACGCAAGUCUGGAGUGAAAGCCCGGGGCCCAACCCCGGGACUGCUCUGGAAACUGCGGCGCUGGAGUACGGGAGGGGCAGGCGGAAUUCCUGGUGUAGCGGUGAAAUGCGUAGAUAUCAGGAGGAACACCGGCGGCGAAGGCGGCCUGCUGGACCGUGACUGACGUUGAGGCUCGAGAGCGUGGGGAGCAAACAGGAUUAGAUACCCGGGUACA